GACAGCAUGGCAUAGCGGUUUGAGCGCUGGACUGCGACUCUGGAGAUCAGGGUUCAAGUCCCAGCUUGGCCA